rnacentral:miRNA from 1 species
GGUGGGCCCAGGGUGCGGGGCCAGGGCUGACAGCACCUGUGUCCAGGAGGGUAUGCCGGAA